rnacentral:rRNA from 1 species
UACGGAGGGGGCUAGCGUUGUUCGGAAUUACUGGGCGUAAAGCGCGCGCAGGCGGUUCUUCAAGUCAGAGGUGAAAGCCCAGAGCUCAACUCUGGAAUGGCCUUUGAGACUAGAGAACUAGGGUACGGGAGAGGUGAGUGGAAUUCCGAGUGUAGAGGUGAAAUUCGUAGAUAUUCGGAAGAACACCAGUGGCGAAGGCGGCUCACUGGCCCGUUACCGACGCUCAGGCGCGACAGCGUGGGGAGCAAACAGG